UUUUUUUUUUUUUAGACAGAGUCUCAUUCUGUUGCCCAGGCUAGAGUGCAGUGGUGCGAUCUCGGCUCACUGCCAGCUCUGCCUCCCGGGUAGGUGGAUCACCCUGAGGUCAGGAGUUUGAGACCAGCCUGGCCAACAUGGUGAAACCCCAUCUCUACUAAAAAUCACAAAAAUUAGCCAGGCGUGGUGAUGCACACCUGUAAUCCCAGCUACUCGGGAGGUGGAGGUUGCAGUGAGCCGAGAUCGCACCACUGCACUCCAGCCUGGGCAACAGAGCGAGACUCUGUCUCAAAAAACAAAAACAAAAAAAAAACAACGAGCAAACCAUGGUCCCAUGUUAGUGGGGGAGACGGACCCAAAGCUCCCAACCUCCCCCUCAUCCUGGGUCCUGGGUGGAAGAAGGAAAGAUCCCUCUGGCUAGUGAGGAGGAGGCAGAGAGGCAGGAGGGCUUCUCACAGGAGGUGUCUCGUGUUUCAAGGACUCUCGUGACGAUUUGGGGGUAUCCCCACCUUGUGAGGAUGACUCUGGGUUGUCCUGGAGGGAGUGACCACAUACCUGACCCCGAAGGGAGGUUCUGACAUUUUGGUGGUCACUGCCAUGUUUCACAGAUAAAUUUCCGCUGUAAGCCGUCCUUCCGUGAAUCAGGCUCCAGGAAUGUCCGCGAGGUAAGUGCCCAGGGUGGUCAGGGAUGGGGCCACCCUAAGAUUCCUGCAUGGGCCUCUGCGCAGUGCCUCUGGAGUGCCACCAGGGGGCUCGGCUCCCUCUAGGCUGCUGCUCACUGAGGUCUGUCUGAGGUCUGCCAUGCGGAGGCCUAACUAGCGCUGCCUGCGGAGUGGGUGGGACAGCUUGUGCCUCCUGGUGCUUCCCAGCCUUCUCUGUCCCUCUGAGUCUGAGCCUCCCCCAGGCCAUGAAGAGAGUCUUUAGCCCCUCCUCCACUCAUGCGCAGGACUGCAGAGCGCUUCCUGCAGCCCCGUGUGUUGAGCCGUGUGGGCAGUCCUCAGGACUGUGCCCCUGCCCACCCCUCACCCAGUGAAAUUUUUCCCCUUCUCCCCCAGCCAACCUUUGUACGGCACCACUGGGUACACAGACGACGCCAGGACGGCAAGUGUCGGCACUGUGGGAAGGUGAGAGGCCCUGCCCGAGGACAUCGCCACCUGCACCUGCGGUCCUGAGCCCAGGCCAUGUGGCCGGUGUGGCCUGCCGAUCACUGACCACACCCUGGUGUGCAGAGUCCGGGGCUGACCCUCAGCCUGGCUGCAGUGCCUUCAGUUCUCAAGCACCCUGGCCUGCUCUUGGUCUCUGGGCUUAGUAGGAGAGCAGGGAGGAAAGUUUUCUUCCCAUGUGGCACACCUGGCCUGCUUUGAAGCUGCAAGUGGCCCUUUGGAGAAUCGUAUAGACUUACUCAUUCGGUGACUCCAUGGAUACUUGUGUGCCGAGCGCCAAGCUGGGCAGCGGUUUCCCACCCUCCUGAGGACAGUGUGGCUUGAAGCCAGGCUUUCCAGGCGACCGCCUAACCCAGUCCACAGUUGUUUGGUUCACUUUCUUGUUUGCUUCUUGCCCGCCUCCCUCAGUAAGUGCAGGCUCUCAAAGAUGGAGAGGCUUGCUUCACUGAUUCUCAGCGCCUGGCCCACUGCAGGCCUUUCAUAACAGCCUGUGUGAUGAACAGGGAAUGAAUGUGAUAGGUACUCGGAAGCGGCAGUAAAUUUCUUUAACAGCACAUGGGGGUCUGGUCAGGCCUCGGGGGUAGGAAGGAGGGAAAAUCCGAGUGAGGCAGGAGUUAGCCUGCAGUGUGGCAGAACGGGUAUGCAUGUGGUGCCGUGCAGGUAACUUCAGGGAGUCAGGGGGCCCGGGCUAAGCCACCCUGCUCUUCAGGCUUAUCUUAUACAUAUUUUUUUUUAUUUUAAAAAAUGUGUUCAGACUGGGUGUGGUGGCUCACGCCUGUAAUCCCAGCACUUUGGGAGGCUGAGGUGGGUGGAUCACCUGAGGUCAGGAAUUCGAGACCAGCCUGGCUAACAUGGUGAAACCCUGUCUCUACUGAAAAUACAAAAAAUUAGCUGGGCGUAGUGGUGGGCGCCUGUAAUCCCGGCCACUCAGGAGGCUGAGACAAGAGAAUCGCUUGAACCUGGAAGGUGGAGGUUGCAGUGAGCCAAGAUCACGCCACUGCACUCCAGCCUGGGCAACAAGAGCGAGACUCCAUCUCCAAAC
rnacentral:lncRNA from 10 species